rnacentral:tRNA from 1 species
GAGGGUAUAGCUCAGUGGUAGAGUGGAUGCUUAGCAUGCACGAGGUCCUAGGUUCAAUCCCUAGGACCUCCA